AGGUUUAAAAGAAAAGUCUGUGGAUUUAGACCCGAGGGAAGAGUCUGUAGAUCAGAAUUUCAACUGGAUCUACGCAGUGGUUGUAGUAACUCUGGCCUGUUCUUGUUGUCUCGCAAUCUUCACCUACUGGAGAUAUAAAACUUAUAAAAACAGGGGCCCCGAGCAGAACAAAACACCACUAAGAGAAACGCCUAAGGAAGGGUGAGAACAUUUUCGCACAGAAAGUAAUUUAGUUCUGUUUGUGAUGUGG